UAGGGAAUCUUCCGCAAUGGGCGAAAGCCUGACGGAGCAACGCCGCGUGAGUGAUGAAGGUCUUCGGAUCGUAAAACUCUGUUAUCAGGGAAGAACAAAUGUGUAAGUAACUGUGCACAUCUUGACGGUACCUGAUCAGAAAGCCACGGCUAACUACGUGCCAGCAGCCGCGGUAAUACGUAGGUGGCAAGCGUUAUCCGGAAUUAUUGGGCGUAAAGCGCGCGUAGGCGGUUAGAUAAGUCUGAAGUUAAAGGCAGUGGCUCAACCAUUGUAGGCUUUGGAAACUGUUUAACUUGAGUGCAGAAGGGGAGAGUGGAAUUCCAUGUGUAGCGGUGAAAUGCGUAGAUAUAUGGAGGAACACCGGUGGCGAAAGCGGCUCUCUGGUCUGUAACUGACGCUGAGGCUCGAAAGCGUGGGGAGCGAACAGG
rnacentral:rRNA from 1 species